rnacentral:rRNA from 1 species
ACGCUGGCGGCGUGCCUAACACAUGCAAGUCGAACGGAGUAUUUGGAAGCCUCUUCGGAGACGGAAGAUUUAACUUAGUGGCGAACGGGUGAGUAACGCGUGAGCAACCUGCCUUUCAGAGGGGGACAACGGUCGGAAACGACCGCUAAUACCGCAUAAUGCAACUGGACCGCAUGAUCCGGUUGCCAAAGAUUUAUCGCUGAAAGAUGGGCUCGCGUCUGAUUAGAUAGUUGGUGGGGUAACGGCCUACCAAGUCGACGAUCAGUAGCCGGACUGAGAGGUUGAACGGCCACAUUGGGACUGAGAUACGGCCCAGACUCCUACGGGAGGCAGCAGUGGGGAAUAUUGGGCAAAGUGGGGGCAACCCUGACCCAGCAACGCCGCGUGAAGGAAGAAGGCUUUCGGGUUGUAAACUUCUUUUACCAGGGACGAAGGACGUGACGGUACCUGGAGAAAAAGCCACGGCUAACUACGUGCCAGCAGCGGC